AAAAAACAAUUUUUUUAACAAUGACAGAUGUGAAAAUAUCAUCUUAGGCUUAAAAAAAAAGGAAAAAAAAGGAUUUGGUGCAUGACGCUUUAUCUUCAACCUCUUUGAUUCUCAAAGUCAUCGAAUGUCCUCCAUGAGCCACUAACAUCCCCAUUGCCACCCUCCUGGUUAUCGUAAUGGCUGACUUUAGAUGCGAGUCAACGCGCAACUGGCCCAGCAACACCAAACUCAAACACGCUCUCACACCUUCAAAAUGAAUAUCCACUUCUUCUGCUGCUUCUUUUUGUCGCUCUCAUCUUUCCCUGCUUCUCUAGUAACCCAACUUUGCAUACCCAAUAUCAUCAACACUCCUCCAUUGCUCUAGUGAUGGAAAAUACUAAAUCAUCUUCAACGAAAACCCAUCUUCCAAACCCUUAUCCUUGACAACUCCAACAACCCCUUUUAGCUUUGUCGUAACACCCAAUUGCCUCCAUCACACUAACCAUUCCAUCAUUGUUGCACAACCUACAAUCAAAGCUAAGCCAAACUCUGAACAAGCGCCUGAAACAGAUUCAAAAAUAGAACCCCCAUUGCGUCAUCUCCUCCACCAUAAAUCCUCAUGCCGUCGUAGCCCCAUAACCCCCCCC
rnacentral:lncRNA from 1 species